rnacentral:snoRNA from 1 species
AAUCCAUGAUGAGGACACCUUCUCAACAAAUCUCUAAAUAUCUCCCAUGUAUCAUAAAGUGUUUCAAUAUCAAAUUGAACAAAAGAAGAGAUGUCGUUCAUCAACUU